UGGGGAAUAUUGGACAAUGGGCGAAAGCCUGAUCCAGCCAUGCCGCGUGUGUGAAGAAGGUCUUCGGAUUGUAAAGCACUUUAAGUUGGGAGGAAGGGCAGUUACCUAAUACGUAUCUGUUUUGACGUUACCGACAGAAUAAGCACCGGCUAACUCUGUGCCAGCAGCCGCGGUAAUACAGAGGGUGCAAGCGUUAAUCGGAAUUACUGGGCGUAAAGCGCGCGUAGGUGGUUUGUUAAGUUGGAUGUGAAAUCCCCGGGCUCAACCUGGGAACUGCAUUCAAAACUGACAAGCUAGAGUAUGGUAGAGGGUGGUGGAAUUUCCUGUGUAGCGGUGAAAUGCGUAGAUAUAGGAAGGAACACCAGUGGCGAAGGCGACCGCCUGGACUGAUACUGACACUGAGGUGCGAAAGCGUGGGGAGCAAACAGGAUUAGAUACCCAAGUAGUCCCUGAGCGGGCUGGCAAGGCGCAU
rnacentral:rRNA from 1 species